AAACUGUGUGAGCGAAGUCUUUUUCAUUUUCUUUUGGCCUCAGAGAGCACCGGGGAAAGUGUGGGAGUGGCUGUGUGCUGCUGCAGAUGCUGCCGUGUUGAUGAGACGACGAGAGAGGCUCCAAGCGAGGUCCAUCCAGCAGUGAGUUCCUCUCCUCCCACCAGCCCGGCUUAGCACAGCACUCGUGCUGCAGCCACCCUGCCAGAACCCCCUGGGUUAGGAACAGAAACAUUGCUGUGGAAGAAAUUAUUAAUGAGCUCGCUCCUGCCUGGACUACAGGGUCAGCAGGGCUUCACACACUUUCC
rnacentral:lncRNA from 1 species